rnacentral:rRNA from 1 species
UACGUAUGGAGCAAGCGUUAUCCGGAUUCAUUGGGCGUAAAGCGCGCGUAGGCGGCUUGUUAGGUCAGGAGUCAAAUCCGGGGGCUCAACCCCCGUCCGCUCUUGAUACCGGCAGGCUUGAGUUUGGUAGGGGAAGGUGGAAUUCCCAGUGUAGCGGUGGAAUGCGCAGAUAUUGGGAGGAACACCGGUGGCGAAGGCGGCCUUCUGGGCCAUAACUGACGCUGAGGCGCGAAAGCUAGGGGAGCAAACA